UUGCCAUACUUCCAGCAACGAAUGCACGAAAAGCCACUUUGGCAAAAUCCGACUGUCGUCCGGGAGCCAUGGCGGAUAAAGUGCCAAUUUGAGCUCCAAUCGAGCCGGGAUUUGCAUAGCCACACAAAGCAAAGUACGAGUGAUUUUUACCGAGAUGGCGCCCUGUGCAAUAUAUUCAGACAGUUUGCCAUAAGCAGCGAAUUCAUUGACGACCGUUUUAAUUGCCACCAAAUUGGCAACGAGAUCACAUUCAGAUGAUGGAAACACCCAUCAACCAAGCUAUUGGAAUGAAGAGUUUACUCAAAAUCCACUGCACAUAAUCCAAUCAUUAAUGCUUAUCAAAUUCCAUUAGUAAAUCAACCGUACUCUUAUACUUCAAAUGUUAUGUAGGGCACUCCAAGGAGGUUACCGAACCAAGAGAUGACUCCAUUAAGGAAAGCAAUAAACGCUAAAAAGGCAAUUAAAUUCGCGAUCACGUGAGCUACCAUUAACACUGCCAUUGCUGCUCCUUGUGCUGCUGCGUCCAGGGCAUUAACUUCGGAUCUACAUUUUCCCCAACAAAAAAUUUUAUAAAUUUGCUUUGAAAAAAAAAAAAUAAAUUAAACUAACCCUUUUGGCACUUUAAUGUCACGAGCUUUUGUUUGAGAUUUUUCCGUUUCCGGAUAGAGCAAUUUGGAUACAGCGAGAGCUACCGGAGCAGCCAUAACGGAUGCGCUGAGCAACUGCGAAGCACUAAUUCCAAAAGCAGUGUACGCCGCCAAAUCAGAUCCUAGUAUAGGUUUCAGCUGACUUGUUAAGACUAUUCAGGUUUAAUCAAAAGUGGAGCUUCCGUCUGUCAUUUGGAGGAAACAAAAGCAACAAGUUUAGAAAGCAGAAUGAACAUUUUUUGUGUUUGAUAAAAGACCUGGCCUAAAAAGAUGUUGGCGGCGGCGUUCAUCGACUCAGCGGCUGUUGUGCCAACUGAAAUUUGUAAAAGCCAUCCAAGUUUUUCGACUGUCCAUUGCAUCGCACCGUAAUAAUAGAGGAGGUUGAUCAAGAAACUGAAAAAGUAGAUAACCGACAAGAUCUGCCAAAAAUAGAAAGUGGGAAUUGUUCGGAAUGGAAUGAUGAUAAACGUAUAACAGCGGAACUUACUCUGAAAGCAAAUAUGGUUCCCAACGCUAUUCCAGAAGCGUUUUGAUCGCUGGCCAGAUAGCCAUAGACGAACUCUGAUCCAGCAACUGAGUAAUCCAAGAAGAAGAGAAAAUUUGCUUCCUAAACAUUCGAAUGUUCUUCGGCCAAAGUCCCAUCAUCACCUGUGCAAAAAAAGGUAGCAUAUCGAACAAGCUGAUGGAAGUAAGUCACGGAAAAUUGGGAAACCAAAGUAUUUCUUACUCUGGAUGGAUAUUUGGAGAAGAUCCAUCCGAGAAGCAAGAAGAUAAGCAGCCCACCAAAGGAUUGCAAUCGGACUCGUUCAUCCGCCGUGUCGAUGAUUAAGAAGGUUAACAAACCAGCCGAUAGGACGAGGUAAAAACCGUAUCGAACCCAACUGGGUUGUAAUCAAUUCAGCUUCAGUUUGUUUGCCAAUUGUAAUAAGAUUUUAAUUAUACGAUAACUCACCUGUAUUUCCAUGCUCGGUCGAAGGCCUUUACGGCCGGCUUCAUAACUGCUCGAUUAAGUGAUUUGCCCCAAUAUUUUCUAACAAUUUGGAAGUAAAACAGGCCCAAAUAAGUGAUGCCCGUCAGGACGAUCAGGAAACCGACUCCAUCGCACCAAUCCAUUGGAAUGCCAUUGCGGAUGGAAUAAUGGAACACUGGCUACGAAGUAAACAUUGUAAAGAAUAGCGAAGAUGAUGUAGAAGAUACUACGAGCAACAGCUGAUCUUUCCGAAAAGAAAUCGCCUAAUGAAGCCCAUAAUUUCUCCAAAGCAUUUCCGAUAAAUUCACACGAUCGGUCAGGUGGCUCGUCGUCACUGUCACGUUCAUUCGACUGCGUCUCACUUUUGGAUGAUAAUUCAAAGUUCUUGACGGCUAGCGUUGACACAUCUUCCAUGCAAAUCGGCCUCUCCUUAUCCGGAUCACCUUCCAUUUGGACGUCCGCGCCAAUAACUUCAGUUACCAUCUCCAUCUUUUUUUUUUUAAUUUUCAAUUCUUACAGAUAGAAAUGUCUACUACUUAUAACGUCGCCAUUCCGACUUGUAUAUAGACACACUAAUUUAUUAAUCUGUGGUAUCUUCUAACUAAACUUAGAUUGUGGAAACUCGACAGGCAGGUACAAAAGUCAUUUAAGAGGCAUUAAUGAGACCAAGAUAAAUAAGUGAGCUGAUACAGUUGUGACUUACUUUGCACAAUCAGUUUUGAACAAUGCUGAGCUAUGUUAAGAAAACAAAUAUCGUCGGUAUAGUGAACUUGGGUAAAAGAUCAAAAGUUUGAUUAAGGGAAUUGAACCGCUCAUUAAACUCCCAGUUCUAAUGAUCUAAUGGUAAUCGAUUAUUAACUCAAAAUAUGUUACCCUCUUUUCCCUAUAGCAAUUUCUAAUGGGAAUGGUGCGCUAAAAGCUCAAAUUUUCGUACCAAGCCUUCAACUACAUCGUUUUCAACCUAUUAGCCUUGAAGCAAAACGAAGUCGUCAAAAUCAUGCUAAUGCUUCAUUGUAUUUCCAGAAGUGUUUUGAAACUGGUGACGAACAGAAAGGAAUGCAAACUGCAUUGUAACUGAUCCCCAAGUGUGUGAAACACGUUAGGAAAUGUAAAAACUCAAGUGAAUAAAAUAGAAUAAAUGUUUAAAGUGUUAACCAAAGGGGUCGUCUAGAUGCCGGGAACGGAAAUAGCUGGAAAAGCCAAGUGUUUACAGGCAGCACUGUUUGUUGCCGAACAAGUUGUUGCGGCAUCUCUUGUAAAUCAGGUUGCUGGCACAGUCCGUGUUAUUGAAGCAGGAAG